rnacentral:rRNA from 1 species
AACGUAGGAGACAAACGUUAUCCGGAGUUACUGGGCGUAAAGGGCGUGUAGGUGGUUUUGUAAGUCUGGCGUGAAAUUUUUCGGCUUAACCGGGAAAGGUCGUCGGAUACUGCAGGACUAGAGGACGGUAGAGGCGUGUGGAAUUCCGGGUGUAGUGGUGAAAUGCGUAGAGAUCCGGAGGAACACCAGUGGCGAAGGCGACACGCUGGGCCGUACCUGACACUGAGGCGCGAAAGCCAGGGGAGCAAACGGG